rnacentral:rRNA from 1 species
UACGAAGGUGGCAAGCGUUGUUCGGAUUUACUGGGCGUACAGGGAGCGUAGGCGGUUGGAUAAGCCCUCCGUGAAAUCUCCAGGCUUAACCUGGAAAGUGCAGAGGGGACUGUUCAGCUAGAGGAUGGGAGAGGAGCGCGGAAUUCCCGGUGUAGCGGUGAAAUGCGUAGAGAUCGGGAGGAAGGCCGGUGGCGAAGGCGGCGC